ensembl:lncRNA
AGCCAACCCUGAUCCUUCCCUUUUGCAGUUCGGGGCCUCAGUUUCCUCAUCUGUGAAAUGUGUUUGGACCGGCUCCGCACUUGUGAAGCAAGCAAGGCCUUCCCAGCCUGGCACCCCUCGUAGUGCUGGUUGGGGAAGCAGCACAGAGGCCCACAGCCCCCACCCGGGGCCAGACCGAUGCCUGACCUACUUCAGCUGUGGCAGGAGCCACCGGGUCUUCCUGAGCCUUCACAGGUGAGCAGGUUCCCAAGCCCUGACACUGAGCUUCCAGGGGAGUCCGUGCAGGGCCUCCACUGGGGCGGGCCGCCUCUGGGACAGCAGACCUUCCUCCCUGAAGUGCUCCCUCAGGAAAGAAGAGGGGCCAUAGGAGCUGAGAGUGCACCCUUGUAAGGAAAGAGGCUGGGCACUGCCCUGGCAGCGUUCCCAGAGCUGACCAGAAAGGGGCCUGAGCUCCUGUUUGCCCUGGAUCUCCUCGCUUGUCACACAGCCCACCCACACCCUCUGGGCAGCGUGGACAACAUCCACGGGCCCCCUCACCCUCUGGCUUCUGGUUGGGCUGAGUGAGUGAGCAGGAGCCCCGGCAGGGGUAUGAAGGAACUCAGUGAGUGAGGUCAGGUGCCCUUGGGCCAUUUUUGUCUUCUUGACCUUAGAGCAGACCAACAGAAGGGCUCUUCCCCAUCAGAAUCAGAAUUCAGCAUGGAGACUCUGAUCCAGUCCCCUCUCCGAUUUUACAGAUGAGGAAAUCGAAGCACAGAGAGGUGACGAAAUUUGGUUUAAGGUCAGGAAGACGGUGGCCAAGGUGUCCUCCACCCGUGUCUCCUGAUUCCCAAUCCGUUGCCCCGCAUGGCUGUUCUAGAACCACACAUGUGCUCUCUAACCCCCGGGCAGAGGGGCAGCAGGUGCGGGAUGGCCGUGGGCUUGGCGGCCUCCUCUGCAGUUUCAAUCAGGAUUAGAGCUCGUGUCUCCUACCUGCUACACUCCGGCCUGACCUCUCCCUGGAUUCCUGCGUGCUGCUCCCUGGUCAGGGGACAAAAAGAGGGCCCCCAGUGAUUAGCUUCAGUCUAGCCCAUGCAGUCUCUCUGGCUUCUUAACCUGGAGGCAGAGUCAUUGGGUCUGCAAGACCCAUCUGGGCAUGCAAGAACCAAGACUGUCUCUGCAAUCUCUGGUGGUAGAGAAAAUGCGACCCAACCCAGUAGGAGGAGUCUAAGAACUAAAGAAUGGCUGUAUAGUUCCGUGAGAGCCCAUCUUUCCUCUCCGAAUGUCUUAUUUCUUUGCAAAUCUGUGCCCUUCUCUCACAGGGCUGCUGUGGGAGUCAAUGAAAGUGCAGGAAUGGGCCUCUUCCAGGGGAGGUAGUCCAUACAUAUUCACUGCAGUCAUCUUCAAAGACACAGGUUUCUCUUUCUUUCAUCCUUAACCAGAAAUGAAAUUG